rnacentral:rRNA from 1 species
GGGGAGGCGGCAAAUAUCCUUUGAUCCGGAGAUGUCUGAAUGGGGGAACCCACCUACUUUAAGGUAGGUAUUGCAACAUGAAUACAUAGUGUUGCAAGGCGAACGAGGGGAAGUGAAACAUCUCAGUACCCUUAGGAAAAGAAAUCAAUUGAGAUUCCCUCAGUAGCGGCGAGCGAACGGGGAUCAGCCCAUUAAGUUAUGUGUGUUUUAGUGGAACGCUCUGGGAAGUGCGAACGUAGAGGGUGAUAUUCCCGUACACGAAAGGGCACACAUAAUGAUGACGAGUAGGGCGAGGCACGUGAAACCUUGUCUGAAUAUGGGGGGACCAUCCUCCAAGGCUAAAUACUCCUGACUGACCGAUAGUGAACCAGUACCGUGAGGGAAAGGCGAAAAGAACCCCUGUGAGGGGAGUGAAAUAGAUCCUGAAACCGCAUGCAUACAAGCAGUGGGAGCACCUUCGUGGUGUGACUGCGUACCUUUUGUAUAAUGGGUCAGCGACUUAUAUUCAGUAGCAAGGUUAACCGUAUAGGGGAGCCGUAGAGAAAUCGAGUCUUAAUAGGGCGUUUAGUUGCUGGGUAUAGACCCGAAACCAGGCGAUCUAUCCAUGAGCAGGUUGAAGGUUGGGUAACACUAACUGGAGGACCGAACCCA